rnacentral:tRNA from 1 species
GUUGUGCCGAGUUAGGCCAAGAUUUUUGACUGGGGGUCAAGGGGUCGUCGGUUCGAAUCCGGCCACUCCGACCA